rnacentral:rRNA from 1 species
CCUACGGGAGGCAGCAGUGGGGAAUAUUGCGCAAUGGGCGAAAGCCUGACGCAGCGACGCCGCGUGAGGGAUGAAGGUCUUCGGAUCGUAAACCUCUUUCAGCAGGGAAGAACGGUCACUGUGCUAAUCAGCAGUGAAUUUACGGUACCUGCAAAGAUAGCACCGGCUAACUCCGUGCCAGCCGCCGCGGUAAUGCGGAGGGUGAGAGCGUUAAUCGGAAUUACUGGGCGUAAAGCGCUCGUAGGCGGUAUGUCAAUGCAAGGGUGAAAUGCCCGCGCUCAACGUGGGAACUGCCUUUGAAACUGGCAGACUUGAGUGUGUGAGAGGAGAGUGGAAUUCGAGGUGUAGGAGUG